UAGAGCGUCUAUGAGGGAUAGCUUGGAAAAAUCGGUACUGUUUAGAGAUUGGAUCCGCACGGAAAGAAGAAACUUUGGAAUUGCAGAAUCACAACCGGCGAUAGAUGAAGCUUAUGAAGAAAUGAUAGCGGAACUUGCGGAGGAUUUGGCUUUGCCCGGAAGUGGUGAUAAACAAGCUUCUUUUCCACCACCACCAACGCAACCUCCUCCGAACCU
rnacentral:lncRNA from 1 species